AAAGACUCCAAAAUACAGGUAAAAAAAAUACGAAAGAAAAAGAUCACAGGGGCUGCUCAUGUGGAGGGACUUGAUAAGCUGGAAUGUAAAAAGUCUGACUCAGAUUCAAAUUCAAAGUCGAGUGAUGAUUCUUCUUCCAAAUCUGAUUCCAAUUCAGAUUCUGAUAAGAAAUCUAAUCAUUCUGGUUUGAAAUCAGACUCGGAACCAAAAUCUAGUGAGGUAAUUAUAUUAUCUAAUUGAAAAAGCCCGGAUAUAAUAUAUAUCUGCUUACACUAGAUAGCUUGACAUAACAUUAUUAACUCUAUGAAAAAAAAAAAACAAAAGCUUGAUUCACUUAUCACUAUUUGUUACUCUUAAUACAUAAAAGUUCGUCCUAUAAAAAAAAAUCAAGUAAAAUUUUAUUAUGUCCAUAGUUUGUAUCUAUCUGCCUAAUAUUUCUAUAUCUGUCAUAGAUAUAGAAGGAUUUAUAACUGUAAAAUAACAAAAAGUAGUUCAAUACGCAAAUUUCUUUUUUUUCCUGCAAUCUAGUGACGGCAAAGACUCCAAAAUACAGGUAAAGAAAAUACGAAAGAAAAAGAUCACAAGGGCUGCUCAUGUGGAGGGACUUGAUAAGCUGGAAUGUAAAAAGUCUGACUCAGAUUCAAAUUCAAAGUCAAGCGAUGAUUCUUCUUCCAAAUCUGAUUCUGAUUCUGAUUCUGAUAAGAAAUCUAAUCAUUCUGGUUUGAAAUCAGACUCGGAACCAAAAUCCAAUGAGGUAAUUAUAUUAUCUAAUUGAAAAAGCCCGGAUAUAAUAUAUAUCUACUUACACCAAGUAGCUUGACAUAGCAUUAUUAACUCUAUGAAAAAAAAAAAAAGGAACAAAAGCAUGAUUCACCUAUCGCUAUUUGUUACUCAUAAUACAUAAAAGUUCGUCUUAUAAAAGAAAAUCAAGUAAAAUUUUAUUAUGUGAAUAGUUUGUAUCUAUCUGUCUAAUAUUUCUAUAUCUGUCAUACAUAUCGAAGGAUUUAUAACUGUAAAAUAACAAGAAGUAGUUCAAUACGCAAAUUUCUUUUUUUUUAGCUGCAAUCUAGUGACGGCAAAGACUCCAAAAUACAGGUAAAGAAAAUACGAAAGAAAAAGAUCACAGGGGACGCUCAUGUGGAGGGACUUGAUAAGCUGGAAUGUAAAAAGUCUGACUCAGAUUCAAAUUCAAAAUCGAGCGAUGAUUCUUCUUCCAAAUCUGAUUCCGGUUCUGAUUCUGAUAAGAAAUCUAAUCAUUCUGGUUUGAAAUCCGACUCGGAAUCAAAAUCUAAUGAGG
rnacentral:lncRNA from 1 species